UAAAAAUAAGUAUUGGCCGCGCCCCCGCUGGGGGCGACGAGGGAAGACGGUGCGAUUCCGUCACGGUCCCGCCGCUGUGACCGGGGACCGGCUCAGCCAGGGGUGUUUUGGGGCCCCAGCCACUGCCGCUCGCGGCGGGAAGGCGCUGCAAGCCGGGUCGAUCCGGGAGUCAGAAGACCUGCCGGCCAGGCUAGGCGCGC
rnacentral:ncRNA from 2 species